AAGUCGUAACAAGGUUUCCGUAGGUGAACCUGCGGAAGGAUCAUUAACACGUGUCCCACGUAUACACCCCUGUGAACUGUGCGCGGACUUACAUAUGAGUGGUAGAAACCGAGUUGUAACCUUCGUGGUUGCAUUGAAAGUUGCAUAGCUGGAGCUUGUGAGUCUGCGCGACUUACACGAAAAAGAUCUCACCAACUUUCGCAGUUGGAGAUUCUUCGGCUGUGCGAUUGGUAAUACUAGCUUGCUGCGAGCAGGCAGCUCUGUGUAGCGUUCGUUUUAACCAACCUUUAACUGAAUAGACUAAUGUGGAGGCUAGUACGUGUGAGCAAUCGCACUGGACUGUGUCUCGGCUUACGAAAUGUAACAACUCUUAACAACGGAUAUCUUGGUUCUC
rnacentral:misc_RNA from 1 species